rnacentral:rRNA from 1 species
ACGCUAGCGGCAGGCCUAACACAUGCAGUCCAACGGCAGCACGGACUUCGGUCUGGUGGCGAGUGGCGCACGGGUGCGUAACGCGUAUACAAUCUACCUUUUACAGGGGGAUAGCCCAGAGAAAUUUGGAUUAAUACCCCAUGGCAUAUGUCUGUGGCAUCACGGGCAUAUUAAAGAUUCAUCGGUAAGAGAUGAGUAUGCGUUCUAUUAGCUAGUUGGUGCGGUAACGGCGCACCAAGGCCACGAUAGAUAGGGGCCCUGAGAGGGGGAUCCCCCACACUGGUACUGAGACACGGACCAGACUCCUACGGGAGGCAGCAGUGAGGAAUAUUGGACAAUGGGCGAGAGCCUGAUCCAGCCAUGCCGCGUGCAGGAAGACGGCCCUAUGGGUUGUAAACUGCUUUUAUACGGGAAGAAACACCCCCUCGUGAGGGGGCUUGACGGUACCGUAAGAAUAAGGAUCGGCUAACUCCGUGCCAGCAGCCGCGGUAAUACGGAGGAUCCAAGCGUUAUCCGGAAUCAUUGGGUUUAAAGGGUCCGUAGGUGGACGGUUAAGUCAGAGGUGAAAUCCUGCAGCUCAACUGUAGAAUUGCCUUUGAUACUGGUCGUCUUGAGUCGUUGUGAAGUGGUUGGAAUAUGUAGUGUAGCGGUGAAAUGCAUAGAUAUUACAUAGAA